GCAAGUCGAGCGAAGCACUUUGCUUAGAUUCUUCGGAUGAAGAGGAUUGUGACUGAGCGGCGGACGGGUGAGUAACGCGUGGGUAACCUGCCUCAUACAGGGGGAUAACAGUUAGAAAUGACUGCUAAUACCGCAUAAGACCACAGCACCGCAUGGUGCGGGGGUAAAAACUCCGGUGGUAUGAGAUGGACCCGCGUCUGAUUAGCUAGUUGGUAAGGUAACGGCUUACCAAGGCGACGAUCAGUAGCCGACCUGAGAGGGUGACCGGCCACAUUGGGACUGAGACACGGCCCAAACUCCUACGGGAGGCAGCAGUGGGGAAUAUUGCACAAUGGGGGAAACCCUGAUGCAGCGACGCCGCGUGAGCGAAGAAGUAUUUCGGUAUGUAAAGCUCUAUCAGCAGGGAAGAAAAUGACGGUACCUGACUAAGAAGCACCGGCUAAAUACGUGCCAGCAGCCGCGGUAAUACGUAUGGUGCAAGCGUUAUCCGGAUUUACUGGGUGUAAAGGGAGCGUAGACGGAUGGGCAAGUCUGAUGUGAAAACCCGGGGCUCAACCCCGGGACUGCAUUGGAAACUGUUCAUCUAGAGUGCUGGAGAGGUAAGUGGAAUUCUAGUGUAGCGGUGAAAUGCGUAGAUAUUAGGAGGA
rnacentral:rRNA from 1 species